UAAUGUGAUUCAAGAUUGGGAAGAAUAUAAACACUUGCUUAUAGUAUGAAAAAGGAGAAUAUUAAUCAUCACAAUAUUUUAAUAAUCUGAUUAUCUUUCAAAUUUGCCAAACUGAGGCCAGACCGCCAUGAGGACUUACUGACACUUGUCUCCUCUCCCACUUUCCUUCCAGCAGUGGAUCCAGAAGGAAUGUCCCUGGUUACCUGGCUGGUGGCUGGACAACAGGGGAGGUGGAAGCACUGGUGACCACACAAUAAAAGAGGCAAACCAACAAGGACCAUAAGAUUGGUGAUAAUCCUAUGAAUUUGUUUCCUCGCUUGCAUGAGUAACAGCUGCAAUAUUUUUUUCAAUACCAAACUUAAUAAAAGCUGAGAUAGAAUACAAGAUCAGUAACAUUUUGUAAUGACUGCGGAAAUUCCAUAAUCUGAGU